rnacentral:rRNA from 1 species
UACGAAGGGGGCAAGCGUUGUUCGGAUUUACUGGGCGUACAGGGAGCGUAGGCGGUUGGAUAAGCCCUCCGUGAAAUCUCCAGGCUUAACCUGGAAAGUGCAGAGGGGACUGUUCAGCUAGAGGAUGGGAGAGGCGAGUGGAAUUCCCGGUGUAGCGGUGAAAUGCGCAGAUAUCGGGAGGAACACCAAUUGCGAAGGCAGCUCGCUGGGACGUUACUGACGCUGAGACGCGAAAGCGUGGGGAGCAAACAGG